rnacentral:rRNA from 1 species
AUUGAACGCUGGCGGCAGGCCUAACACAUGCAAGUCGAGCGGAGCGGCGGACGGGUGAGUAAUACCUAGGAAUCUACCUGGUAGUGGGGGAUAACGUACGGAAACGGGCGCUAAUACCGCAUACAAUCUGUUGAGCCUAGGUCGGAUUAGCUAGUUGGUUGGGUAAAGGCCUACAAAGGCGACGAUCCGUAACUGGUCCGAGAGGAUGAUCAGUCACUCUGGAACUGAGACACGGUCCAGACUCCUACGGGAGGCAGCAGUGGGGAAUAUUGGACAAUGGACGAAAGCCUGAUCCAGCCAUGCCGCGUGUGUGAAGAAGGUCUUCGGAGUUUAAAGCACUUUAAGUUGGGAGGCGUUACCAACAGAAUAAGCACCGGCUAACUUCGUGCCAGCAGCCGCGGUAAUAC